UACGUAGGGUGCAAGCGUUGUCCGGAAUUAUUGGGCGUAAAGGGCUCGUAGGCGGUCCAUCGCGGUUCGGGAAGUCGGAAAAGCGUGGGGCUUGAACCCCCAGUCCUGCUUUCGAUACGGGUGGACUAGAGGUAGGCAGGGAGAACGGAAUUCCUGGUGUAGCGGUGAAAUGCGUAGAUAUCGAUGAGGAACACCAGGAGGCGAAGGCGGCUACCUGGACAGUUACUGACGCUCAGGCAACGGAAAGCGUGGGGAGCAAAAGGG
rnacentral:rRNA from 1 species